GCUUUUGGCGAAGGAAGCGCGCCCUUUUAAGCAGGGUGUCCGGGGUUCGAAUCCCCGCUGGAGCA
rnacentral:tRNA from 1 species